UACGUAGGGGGCCAGCGUUGCUCGGACUUACUGGGCGUAAAGGGUUCGUAGGCUGUGCUGUAAGUCAGGCGUGAAAUCCCCGGGCUCAACCUGGGAAUUGCGCAUGAUACUGCGGCGCUUGAAGACGGGAGAGGAUGGCGGAAUUCCCAGUGUAGAGGUGAAAUUCGUAGAUAUUGGGAAGAACAGCGGUGGCGAAGGCGGCCAUCUGGCCCGUAAUUGACGCUGAGGCGCGAAAGCGUGGGGAGCAAACAGG
rnacentral:rRNA from 1 species